GCCGGAAUGGCGGAAUCGGUAGACGCAGCGGACUCAAAAUCCGCCGAUCGCAAGGUCAUGAGAGUUCGAGUCUCUCUUCCGGCACCA
rnacentral:tRNA from 1 species